rnacentral:rRNA from 1 species
AAUGGGCGAAAGCCUGACCCAGCAACGCCGCGUGAAGGAAGAAGGCCUUCGGGUUGUAAACUUCUUUUAUGAGGGACGAAGGAAGUGACGGUACCUCAUGAAUAAGCCACGGCUAACUACGUGCCAGCAGCCGCGGUAAUACGUAGGUGGCAAGCGUUAUCCGGAUUUACUGGGUGUAAAGGGCGCGUAGGCGGGAAGGCAAGUCAGAUGUGAAAUCCAGGGGCUCAACCCCUGAACUGCAUUUGAAACUGCUUUUCUUGAGUGUCGGAGAGGUAGAUGGAAUUCCUAGUGUAGCGGUGAAAUGCGUAGAUAUUAGGAGGAACACCAGUGGCGAAGGCGAUCUACUGGACGAUAACUGACGCUGAGGCGCGAAAGCGUGGGGAGCAAA